UACGUAGGGGGGCAAGCGUUGUCCGGAAUUACUGGGCGUAAAGAGCUCGUAGGUGGUUUGUCGCGUUGUUCGUGAAAACCGGGGGCUUAACCCUCGGCGUGCGGGCGAUACGGGCAGACUUGAGUACUGCAGGGGAGACUGGAAUUCCUGGUGUAGCGGUGGAAUGCGCAGAUAUCAGGAGGAACACCGGUGGCGAAGGCGGGUCUCUGGGCCGAUACUGACGCUGAGGAGCGAAAGCGUGGGGAGCGAACAGG
rnacentral:rRNA from 1 species